GGUCUGAGAGGAUGAUCAGUCACACUGGAACUGAGACACGGUCCAGACUCCUACGGGAGGCAGCAGUGGGGAAUAUUGGACAAUGGGCGAAAGCCUGAUCCAGCCAUGCCGCGUGUGUGAAGAAGGUCUUCGGAUUGUAAAGCACUUUAAGUUGGGAGGAAGGGCAGUAACCUAAUACGUGAGUGUUUUGACGUUACCGACAGAAUAAGCACCGGCUAACUCUGUGCCAGCAGCCGCGGUAAUACAGAGGGUGCAAGCGUUAAUCGGAAUUACUGGGCGUAAAGCGCGCGUAGGUGGUUUGUUAAGUUGGAUGUGAAAUCCCCGGGCUCAACCUGGGAACUGCAUCCAAAACUG
rnacentral:rRNA from 1 species